GCGACCCCAGGUCAGGCGGGACUACCCGCUGAAUUUA
rnacentral:rRNA from 52 species